AUUGAACGCUGGCGGCAUGCUUAACGCAUGCAAGUCGAGCGGGGUGAUGGUGCUUGCACUAUCACUUAGCGGCGGACGGGUGAGUAAUGCUUAGGAAUCUGCCUAUUAGUGGGGGACAGCAUCUCGAAAGGGAUGCUAAUACCGCAUACGUCCUACGGGAGAAAGCAGGGGAUCACCUGUGACCUUGCGCUAAUAGAUGAGCCUAAGUCGGAUUAGCUAGUUGGUGGGGUAAAGGCCUACCAAGGCGACGAUCUGUAGCGGGUAUGAGAGGAUGAUCCGCCACACUGGGACCGGGACACGGCCCAGACUCCUACGGGAGGCAGCAGUGGGGAAUAUUGGACAAUGGGCGGAAGCCUGAUCCAGCCAUGCCGCGUGUGUGAAGAAGGCCUUUUGGUUGUAAAGCACUUUAAGCGAGGAGGAGGCUACUUAGAUUAAUACUCUGGGAUAGUGGACGUUACUCGCAGAAUAAGCACCGGCUAACUCUGUGCCAGCCGCCGCCGUAA
rnacentral:rRNA from 1 species